rnacentral:rRNA from 1 species
CGGGUAACGGAGAAUAAGGGUUCGACUCCGGAGAGGGAGCCUGAGAAAUGGCUACCACAUCCAAGGAUGGCAGCAGGCGCGCAAAUUACCCACUCUCAGUACGAGGAGGUAGUGACGAAAAAUAACAAUGCGGGACUCAUCAGAGGCCUCGCAAUUGGAAUGAGCGCACUUUAAAUCGUUCGACGAGGAUCUAUUGGAGGGCAAGUCUGGUGCCAGCAGCCGCGGUAAUUCCAGCUCCAAUAGCGUAUAUUAAAGUUGUUGCAGUUAAAAAGCUCGACUCUUACUAGCCGGUGCGUCUUGCGGUGCUCUUCAUCGAGUGCCGUAGGAGCCUGGCAUGUUUACUUUGAAAAGAUUAGAGUGCUCAAAGCAGGCGAUUCCGCCUGAAUAGUGUUGCAUGGAAUAAUGGAAUAGGACCUCGGUUCUAUUUUGUUGGUUUUCGGAACUUGAGGUAAUGAUUAAGAGGGACGGUCGGGGGCAUUCGUAUUUCGGUGUUAGAGGUGAAAUUCUUGGAUCGCUGAAAGACGGACAAAUGCGAAAGCAUCUGCCAAGAACGUCUCCAUUAAUCAAGAACGAAAGUCAGAGGUUCGAAGACGAUCAGACACCGUCCUAGUUCUGACCAUAAACGAUGCCAACUAGCGAUCCGCAGUGGUUGCUAUAAACGGACUCUGCGAGCAGCUUCCGGGAAACCAAAGUGUUUGGGUUCCGGGGGAAGUAUGGUUGCAAAGCUGAAACUUAAAGGAAUUGACGGAAGGGCACCACCAGGAGUGGAGCCUGCGGCUUAAUUUGACCCAACACGGGGAAACUCACCCGGUCCGGACACUGUAAGGAUUGACAGAUCGAGAGCUCUUUCUUGAUUCGGUGGAUGGUGGUGCAUGGCCGUUCUUAGUUGGUGGAGUGAUUUGUCUGGUUAAUUCCGAUAACGAACGAGACUCUAGCCUGCUAACUAGUUGCGCCGUGUUCAUACGCGGCUGUAGACUUCUUAGAGGGACAGGUGGCGUUUAGCCACACGAAAUUGAGCAAUAACAGGUCUGUGAUGCCCUUAGAUGUCCGGGGCCGCACGCGCGCUACACUGAAGGAGUCAGCGUGUGCUAUCCGGGCUCGGAAGAGUUCGGUAACCCGUUGAAACUCCUUCGUGCUUGGGAUUGUGGCUUGUAAUUAUCGCGCAUGAACGAGGAAUUCCCAGUAAGUGCAAGUCAUCAGCUUGCGCUGACUACGUCCCUGCCCUUUGUACACACCGCCCGUCGCUACUACCGAUUGAAUGGUUUAGCAAGGUACUCGGAUUGGUCUCGAUCUUGUACGAAAGUGCGGGAUCUGUGGCCGAGAAGAAGGCCAAACUUGAUCAUUUAGAGGAAGUAAAAGUCGUAACAAGGUU